UACUUGGUCUCUUUUACUCUGUGGUGACAGCUAGUUUCUUAACAAGAUAUCUGCUAGGGGGGUUAAUCUCUUUUACUUUGUCACAUUCAUUGAUAGGCUUCACUUUGUUUCUCCUACCUUGCAAAAAUUCCACUGAUUAGUCGGACCCUUACUCGUCAUACAUAUAUUAAAAUGUAAGGUGGUGCUUCUGAUUCACCCUGUGAGGAUCUCUGAUCAGUGGUAUCUUUCUCAAUGUUUCCCAUAGGGAUGGCAUCAGGCUAUUAUUGCAUGAUCCUUCUAAGUAGGUGCCGCUUCUGCUUUGAGGCAUGCUUUGGACUCACAUUCCCACUCCUGCUUCAUAGCCUUUCUAUACUUAACAUUUUGACAUAGAUGGUUCCCGCUCCCCUAUCCGAAUUUGGUGCUGCUUGGCUUCACGCUUUGUGCAACUGUACAUCAGGCUCAGUUAGGACCAAGUCUAGAUAAGCAUGUGCCCAGCCCAUCUAUUAAUCAGGCCUAGGAUGGACCCGAGCCCAAAGAGUAGAGACCAAAUAAAGCCAUAGAGGCAGCCCGGUUGACUAUCUGAGAGUGGAAUUCUAAGGCGAAUAGAUAAAAGGGAAAAUAGUUACAGACUACCUAGAAGUGGAAUGCCUGGCUGGUGCAGCCUGAUGUAAGCCAAAUGAUGGGACAAGAUCCUCCCAACAUAGGCACAUCCAAGUGAUGCUUAACACAAGAAUCACAACUAAAGUUGAAAAUAAAUGUAGAAUAUGAUUGAAUUCAGAAGUGCCUUGAGAAUAUUCAUGUGAUGUCCUUAAGUGGAUUUAUUGGACGUACAAGGAAAGUUUUUUUCAGGGUUUUAAGAUAGUUGUUUUAGGGUUUCUUAGUGUCAUUGACAACUAAGGAUUUAUUAUAAAAAUAGAAGCAAAAACUAAUAAAAGAAAUAUGCCAAAUAGGAAAGAUCUAAUGAGAUUCCAUUGCAUGUUUGGCUGAUUGGAUUAUGCUACCUAAUUAGGGGGCUUGGGCCUCCUUGCCGAUGGGCCAUCUGUGGGGCUUGGGCUUGGGCCAAAUGGAUUUGGGCAUAGCCCAUGGGUCUUGGGCCUAGUUAAUGUGGCUGGCCUAUAUUAGUUUUCCCUGACUUGGGCCAAAUGGAUUGGAUUAUGCUGCCUAAUUAGGAGGCUUGGGGCGCCUUGCUAAUGGGCCAACUGUGAGGCUUGGGCUUGGGCCAAAUGGAUUUGGGCAUGGCCCAUGGGUCUUGGCCCUAGUUGAUGUGGCUCGGCCUGUAUUAGUUCUCCCCGGCUUGAAAGGACUUGACUUAGACAAGUUAAUGGCUUGAUGUUGCGCAUAAAGGUAAGGAUUCAAACGCUGGAAAUUUGUAGGUAUAAUCUAUGCAACAUCGAAGAGAGGUAAUCCUUGCCAACGGACGAUAAACAUUUGGUAACCACCUUGGCAUAUAGAGAUCAUCCGGUCGUCAAGAACAUCGAUGAUUGUUUGUAGGUGGAAAAAUGGUCACGAGUGAUAGCUUGCUCCUUGAUACCAUCAUCAAAAUGGUACCCAUGAUAGAUGGAAAGAUCUUCCACAUUUAAAGUAGCACUAAUAGGUAAAUUUGGUAGGAGAUGUAAGCAUUGGCAAUAAUCUUCUUUAUGGUUUUGAAUCGUCCCAAACUGCAAUGGUUGAACUUCUUUGAGCCGUUCAGGAUGAAUACGGACCAUAAUAAUGUUGCCUUCCACCAAUUCGAUAAAACUACGUCUUUUAUCUGCAUGCUGCUUAAAGUUUAAUUACUUGCAGCGAUUUUAUGUCAAACUUUGUCAUGCACCUGCUGCAUAUGGUGAAUGAAAUCACUAGCUUCUGCGGUUGAUCUCAACUCUCUGAGUAGAGGAACCAAAUUGAUUGGAAGCCACUUUCGAAUACUAGUCACUGCUUCAAAAGGUGAUAUCUGCGGGGACCUGUUGAUUGAGUUAUUAUAGGAAAAUUCAGCCAUGGGUAUUACAAGGUCCCACGCAGCUAGAUGAACGCAGACAAGACACCGUAAUAAACUUGUCCAAGCUACGGUUGAUUACUUCCAUUUGCUUAUCGGUCUAAGGGUGGUAGGCACCUAACAACUGAAGCUUGGUCUUUAUUUCUAGCCAAAGAGUCUUCCAAAAAUAGCAUAUGAAUUUGGUAUCACGAUCUGAUACAAUUGUCUUCAAAAGCUCAUGAAGAUGAACAACCUCUUGAAAAAAAAGUGGAUCAAUUUUUAGGGUGUCUGCUUAGAUGAACAUGGUAUGAAAUGAGCCAUCUUUGAAAAUUGAUCAACCACGAAUUCAUCUUCUGUUGAUAGUUUAGAUACCUUU